AGAGGACACAGACACGUCACUGAGGCGCUGAAGCACACAGAGGGGCGGGAACGACAGAGGACACGCCUCAAGGGCGGGGGGACACACACGUCCAAAGGGGGGGACGCAUAUAAAAAUGUUUGACUAAAAUAAAAAGAUGAAGCUUCAGCGUCAGUUUGGCAGAACUUGCCCGCUGAGAUGUGAUGGAUGCCCCCCCCUCACCUCACCUCACCUCACCGCACCGCUGCUCAAGCGUCUAACCCGCCCACUUUCUCACGAUGCCGUGGGAUUUUAUUUUUAUUGUGUUCUCAGUUUGGACAGGUGACCUGUGACCUGAAUGAAUCCACAGGUGGAGACAUUCAGGAAACGUUCCUUUACCUUUUAAACACGCACUUUCCUGUGAAGGUGGAGCUCAGCUGUUCUCUAAUGACCUUCCCUGCAGUUACCUAAAACAGGUUUAGUCCAAUUUCGCUGUGACAGUCUAAGUUUAGCCUGUGAUGUAAUCACACCUGUCACACCUGGAGGCUGACGAGUGGAUGAUGGAUGACACCAGGGAGGAACACACAGACCCUCCUCAGCUCCACACACAGGUGGAGGAGACCCUCCUGACCUCCACCUACCCCGCUGAUCACAGCUGGAGUCUGGGUGGAGCAGUUUUAGCUUCAUUAGAGAAAAACAAGAGUUUUGUUUUGAUCCCGUAAAUGUGAGGAGAGGGGGCGGGGCUUCUGUUGUCAGCACAGCUGCAUUAAGGAGGAAAUUGUGGAUGUUGUUACAGAUCUACACGUGCUACACAAAGGUGAUGACGUCACAUUAAUAAUCGACUACAUGCGAGCCUCUCCUCAGGUAACACACCUGUGUGAGGGUACAGGGCCAAACACGCCCCCCCCCCGGAGACGCAACCGACCGGACAGAAUCGAAGCUCGGACCGGAGGAAAGCCCCUCCUCCCACCGAGUCCGUGUUCAGAAACCUGCAGCAGAUCUUUGUGGAGCUGGCAGCUGUUGAGUUUGGAGCAGAUGUUUGGGAGCUUCCGGGAGAGCCAGCAGGCUCAAACACUGAUUUAUUGCACUAAAACACUUGAAGGUGAUUGCAGUCACACUGCAACACCCGUCUGAGGGACACUUCUGGUUUGCCUCCUGCUGUGAGACCUGAGGCCGGCUCGCUUCCGCACAUUUGUUCUUCAGUCUCUGUGCGGACUGAAGCCCUCAUCGUUCAUACGCAAACAGAUUUAAUAAAGACAAAACUGUGCAGCAGAGGCUCUUUGUCCCAGUUUACUCUCACAGAGAGGGUGGAGGGGAUGUUUAGAGUUGGGAAAGCUGCAGGUAGAUCCUGACUGUGUUCAGAUGCUUCCACCAGAAACUGAUGCAGAAAAGACACAGAGCAUCAUUAGAUCAUUACAAUAAUAAUUAUUAUUACUGAAUAAGUAAUCGCCAUCGGCCCCUCUGGACAAUGGCGUGAUAUGGCAG